rnacentral:rRNA from 1 species
ACUCAAAUGAAUAGACGGGGACCCGCACAACUGGUGGAGCGUGUGGUUUAAUUCGAGACGAAGCGAAGCACCUUACCAAGGCUUGACAUGCUACCGUACAUUUCCCAAGAAAUUGGGAGAAAUCCGCAAGGAUGGUAGUACAGGUGAUGCAUGGCUGUCGUCAGCUCGUGCCGUGAGGUGUUCCCUUAAGUGGGGAAACGAGCGCAACCCGCAUCUAAUGUUAAAUAUUCAUUAGGGACAGUCCUGUUUUCAACAGGAAGGAAGGAGCGGAAGACGUCAAGUCAGCACGUCCCUUAUGCCUUGGGUUACACACACCCUACAAUGGCGAAGAACAAUGGGCUGCAAGCCGGCAACGGCAAGCGAAUCCCACAAAUUUCGCCUCAGUUCAGAUUGGGGUCUGCAACCCGACCCCAUGAAGUCGGAAUCAGUAGUAAUCGCGGAUCAGCAGGCCGCGGUGAAUACGUUCUCGGGUCUUGUACACACCGCCCGU